UCGAUUUGGAGUUUGUUGCCUAGAGUGAUGGGCUCCGAAGCUAACGCGAUAAAUCGACCGCCUGGGGAGUACGGCCGCAAGGUUAAAACUCAAAUGAAUUGACGGGGGCCCGCACAAGCGGUGGAGCAUGUGGUUUAAUUCGAUGCAACGCGAAGAACCUUACCUGGUCUUGACAUCCACAGAAUCUUGCAGAGAUGUGAGAGUGCCUUCGGGAACUGUGAGACAGGUGCUGCAUGGCUGUCGUCAGCUCGUGUUGUGAAAUGUUGGGUUAAGUCCCGCAACGAGCGCAACCCUUAUCCUUUGUUGCCAUCGGUUAGGCCGGGAACUCAAAGGAGACUGCCGUUGAUAAAGCGGAGGAAGGUGGGGACGACGUCAAGUCAUCAUGGCCCUUACGACCAGGGCUACACACGUGCUACAAUGGCGUAUACAAAGGGAGGCGACCUCGCGAGAGCAAGCGGACCUCAUAAAGUACGUCUAAGUCCGGAUUGGAGUCUGCAACUCGACUCCAUGAAGUCGGAAUCGCUAGUAAUCGUGAAUCAGAAUGUCACGGUGAAUACGUUCCCGGGCCU
rnacentral:rRNA from 1 species